rnacentral:rRNA from 1 species
AGUGAACGCUGGCGGUAGGCCUAACACAUGCAAGUCGAACGGCAGCACAGUAAGAGCUUGCUCUUACGGGUGGCGAGUGGCGGACGGGUGAGGAAUACAUCGGAUUCUACUUUUUCGUGGGGGAUAACGUAGGGAAACUUACGCUAAUACCGCAUACGACCUACGGGUGAAAGCAGGGGAUCUUCGGACCUUGCGCGAUUGAAUGCGCCGAUGUCGGAUUAGCUAGUUGGCGGGGUAAAGGCCCACCAAGGCGACGAUCCGUAGCUGGUCUGAGAGGAUGAUCAGCCACACUGGAACUGAGACACGGUCCAGACUCCUACGGGAGGCAGCAGUGGGGAAUAUUGGACAAUGGGCGCAAGCCUGAUCCAGCCAUACCGCGUGGGUGAAGAAGGCCUUCGGGUUGUAAAGCCCUUUUGUUGGGAAAGAAAAGCAGCAGGUUAAUACCCCGCUGUUCUGACGGUACCCAAAGAAUAAGCACCGGCUAACUUCGUG